rnacentral:tRNA from 1 species
GCGGCCUUAGCUCAGCCAGGCCAGAGCCUCGCAAUUCCAACGCGAAUGUCAUCGGUUCGAAUCCGAUAGGACGCA